AGAGAGAGGCGGCAGAAGAGAAGGAAGAGGAGACCGGAAACUCUGAUCUGUUCUUUACGAAAUUAUUCAAGGUACUUAGAAAGCUUUUAAAUUUAUGGUAUUUUUAUUGAAGGUUUAUUAGUGCAUCUAUUGUAUUGUGUUAAAUUUUCAGAAUUUUCUGAGAGGUAUAGAAAAAGAUAAAAAUCAUAAACCUAACUGUGGUCAGAAUCCUAUUUUUUAGCAGACAGCUUACAGAGCUGCUUCUUUUAUCAAUUUUUUUAUAGUUAAGUGAUCCUCUUGAUUAUGGGUCCUUAUAAUUUUGAAAUAUUGAUAAGUUGGUGAUGUUUUGGCGUUGAAAUUACUAAAAAGUAUUAAGUAUUCGAUUUUUAAUGAAUUUUUAAACACAGACUAUUCUGCUGGAAAUUGUGCUUCGCUGCACAGAAUUUCUGAGUUUGGGGGUAAUUUUGACUAGGUUCCUUUAUUGUGAAAAAUCUAGGAAAAAGGGAUGAACUUUGAUGAGUGAUAAUGGUGUGUACCAAAUUUGGGGUUUAUUAGAUGCAUAUUCUAAGUUUGGCGGAUUUUACAAGUUGGUGUGUCCCUACUGAGUUUUGUAUUUGCUGCACUGACACAUUUUGGGAAAAUUGUCAUAUCUUUUAGCUCGGGUAUCGGGUUAGCGCACGGGUUGUUGAUUCUGAAACUAGACUCGUAUGUCUUUCGGAAUAUGUGAAGAUUGUGGCUUAAUUUGUACUAGGUUAAGUCAGUUUUUGAUUUAAAGUUGAUAGACGUGCAGAAUCUGUGAUAUUGGACAGAUUUUUGUGUAACUUUGGACGAGCAUAACUUUAUCGUCCGGACUUCAUUUUUAACAAAUUUUAUAUCAAAAUUCAUGUUUCGGAGGUGAAAUUUCUAAUGGUAGUAGUUUCAUGAUUUGGUUUUAACCCUAUAAGAAGUCAUAGGCAGAAUACGACAGGCUGGUCGUAGAUUUCAAACCAAAUGUAGGGGUUAUGUGGUGUUUGAGUGUUACGCUUGUUUAGGGACACUUCUAAACCUUUGAGAUGGACAUGCUAGUAUGCCUUAAGCAUCUUUAAUCUAUUAUUGGUGUUAUAGAUUGUUGUUAGGAGUUAGUUUUGACGUUUAAACGUUCAAUAAAACUGAAAUGGUUAACUUGUGGUUAAGUGUCAAGCCAGUCAGUUGGGAGGGGCCGAAACCGUAAGUUUGGCGUACCUCGGUCGAUACAAAGGUAGCAGGUUGCUUAGAAUGGGUCCACUACCGGUCGUUGUGUUGAGGCGUUUUGCUAGCGUCAGGUGGGGUUUUGGUUACGUUGUUAUGGAGUGCUUUAGCUAGUGCAGAACUUAAUUUGUAUGGAGUUGUAGCUAAGGAUAGUUAAAGAUUUUAAAUUGUAUAGGUCGUAAUUAAGUUUGGUCGAUGGCUGAUGUUCUAUUUGAGGUUAGCCUUGGACGUUGUGGAUAGUCGAGUUUGUUGUAGGUGGUUAAUGAAGAAGUUGAUUUAUUCAAGUUGUAAGUAAGUCGUCGGUGGAUGUGUUGAAGUAUAGAAUUUUUAAAGUACUAUAAUGCAGAUGU